CCCACUUUGCCGCACCACCAUACACCUCCCUUACCCUUUGCCGAACCACCAUAUCAUCCCAAAUCCAUCCCUAAACCGAAAAUCACAUCCAAACAGCCCCUAAAACCCUCACUGCCGCAGCAAGGAGAAGAAGAAAGAGGAGCUUUCUGUGCAGAUUUCAAAGUGGACUUCUUUGGCAUUUUAGGUGUAAUCUUUCUUAUGUCUUCGAUGUUUCAAUUCAAUAAACUUUGUGUUGUGAGUAUGAGGAACUAAACCCCCUUAGUUGGGGGGUGAUUCGAAACCAUGUACAUGCUUGCAAUUUGAUUCGAUUACAUUCAGUUGUUAUUUCAUAAGUUAUGGAUUCAAUUCGUUCAUCUAUUUGAUUGAUAAACUUAUUUGUGUAUGUUGAUUGAGAGUGCACGCUUAGUUUUCAUGCAUGAAUAUGAUGCUAGAUUAUGAGGGAGUUUCACCUAAUAGUUACAAUCUUAUAAUCACAAGUAGUGAAGAUCGCUUGAAAACGAUCGCGUUGAAUGAAUUCUUAGCAUAAGUUUUCAUGCAAUUCAUAGUAACAAAUGCUUCGUCAAUGCUUAUGUUUUUCAUAGAACGUAAUGAUUCUUGCUUGUAUCUCUAUUAUGCAAUUCAUGUAGGGAACUUGUAGGGAAUGUUUUGGGUUGUCGUAUGCAAUCAUCCAACUUAAUAACUUGUGGAAAAACUGAGGGUUAAUUAGUGCAAUUCACGGUUAACUUGGGGCGUUGAGUAUUCAUAGUUUAUCGGAAGAACAACUGAAAAUCGUUUUGUUUGCAAGUGUGACAUGUGUGGAGAAGAACCUCCUAACUAGCCUUUUAUCCAUCCUUUUUCACCAAAAAUCGUUUUUACAAUCUGUUUUAGUUUUAAGUUUCUGUUUUCUGUUAAAUUUUUCGUCCAAAACAAAUCCCCCUUUAAUUUUGAAGUCUUAGAUUAGUUAGAAAGUGUUUUGAUUUGUGUUCUAAGUAUUUUGACUCAAGUUUUCAUCAAAUUUCGUCCAAAUUAGUGUAGGUGCUCAAAACUGCCCAGAAAGUGGUUUUUAGGCAGUUUUGAGCCUUCUAGUUGCUGUUUUGAGUUUUAGGUUUGUUUAAGUGUUUUAACCUUUAGUUUUGCAUUCUUUGAGUCUAGUUUAGUGUUUUAAACUUUGUUUUUAUGUUUUUAAGUCAGUUUUCAAGUGUUUAGCAAUCCCUCCUAAUCCCCGGUCUAGAACGAUCCCUACUUACAUCUUUACUACAAUUUGACAAAAAGAGGGUUUAAUUUGUGUGCUUAUCUAUUUCGCAUCAGUGUCCACCUUUGCCUGGGUGGGCUUGUGUCCUCCUCUUCUAAUUGUAGUUUUUUAUCUUCUUUGAGGCCUGAUGUAGAUGGUUUAGGAUCUGCCCCAACUUCUUUUCCACUUCUCAACAAUAUGGCUUUUGCACUUUCGAAACCUCCUUUUGGAUUUGGAAUGGUAGAACUAGGAAGUUGGCCUGGGUCUCGAAAUUUGCUCACAAAGUCUGCAAUCUGCCCAAUUUGUUUCUCCAAUUGAUCCACCCUUUUGUCUUGGCUUUGUAUAGCUUUGGUUUGAUUUUCUUGCCCCUGAGACAAGUUAGUUAGUAACUUAAGGAGUGUAUCAUUGUCUAGAGAUGUACCUGAAGCAUUUGGGGCAGAUUGUUGUGGAACAUCUGGGGGUGCGUUUGGCUUGGUGAAAAACCCCGGGGGUUGUUGCCUAAAGCCUCCCUGUUGUUGGGGUUGUUGGGCCUCCCUCCACUUGAAGUUUGGAUGGUCUCUCCAACCUGGAUUGUAUGUAUUUGAAUAUGGAUCGUUCCUUGGUUGGUUUUGGCCUUGAAAUCCAAUUGCGUUAGCGCUCUCCCAUCCACCGUUCUCAAUGAGUUGAGGGCACUUUUCCGAGGCAUGUCCUUGGAUAGAACAUACGCCACACACCAUUGGCCCUUGCAUCCUCAUUCCUUCAGCCAUCUGAGACAUAAUGGAAGUAAGAUUAGCUAACUGUGAAUGAAUGUCAGAUGUGGAACUUACCUCAUGCACUUGUUGCCUGAUGUGAAAAAUAUGUUGACACACAAAUUAAACCCUAUUGAUGACAAUUGUAGUAAUGAUGCAAGUAGGGAUCGUUCUAGACCGGGGAUUAACUAGGGAUGCUAAUCAACACAAAUAAGACUCAAAACCACUAAACUAGACUCUAUAGACUCAAAACUAACUUAAAACACUAAAAACAGCAAGAAACAAUAAAAAAGACUCAAUUCUAGACCUAGCAAGUGAUUUGGACGAAAAUAGAACUUCAAAGACUCAAAAGACUUAAAGAAAACACGUUUUGACUCUAAAAACAAGACUUAAAAGCAAGGGGGUUGAUUUGGACGAAUUUAACUUUUAAAACAAAAACUUUGAAAACAAACUUGACAAAAACGAUUUUGAUGUAGAUUAAGAUGGUGAAAGGCUAGUUAGAAGGUUCCUUCUCCACACAUGAAACAUAUGUAUACGACUCGAUUUCCAGUUACUCUUUCAACAAACCAUGAAUGACAAUGCCCCAAAUUAACUAGAUUGCACCAAUUAAUUCUCAGAUUUCCCUAGAUUCAUUGAAUUGAAUGGAAUACGCAUUACAACCAAAUUAUUCUUAUCAAAGACCCUAACUAUGGAAUACGCAUGAUAGAGACACAUAUCAAAGAUCAUAAGUUCAAUGGACAUCAUAAGCAUUGACGAGGCAUUCAUAACUAUGGGAUACGCAUGUUACUCUUGCCAAGGAUUUACUUAACACAAUCGUGACUAGCGACUUUUACUACUUAUGAAUAUAAGUUAAUAACGAUUAGGUGAAAUUCCCUUAUACUCUAGCAUCAAAUUCAUGCAUGCAAACUAAGUAUGCAUCCUUAAUUAACAUACAUAAACAUGUUAUCAAUCAAAUAGAUAAGUAAACUGAUAGGAGCAUAUUUAUGCGCCUUAGUUAGCUAGUUCUUAUGCAUCUUUGUUAUGUUUUCUUCGUUAAAGUAGUCUUUUAAGCUACUUUCAUGUGUUUUCAGGUUUAAAGGACAUAUUACAUGAAAUGAUGCAAUUUGGAGCUUUUGUUGCAAAAUGUGAGCUUGGAUUGAAAAGGACAUGCUUGGAACACAAGGUUGGGAUGGAAUUGAAGAGUUGAAGAUUUGAGGUUUCCUACUCGAAGUAGGAAAGCUAAGCCUAAAAGUUUCCAUUUUGGGUUGAUCUUUCCUAAAUCGGAAUUGGCAACCAAAGUUUCUAAAGUUGGAAGUUUCUAUUCUUGGAGGUUUCCAUUUUUGUGAGUUUCUAUUCUCGGCUUUGGGCUUUUGGAUGACCCAUCCUUACUUCUUGGACCUAUGCCGCACCUAAACCCUAACCUUAGUCCACUUAAUCAGCCGCACCUAGGCCUUGUUCACAUGCAAAAAUCUGAUUAGUUACCCUAAGCCCAAUGCCGCACCUUUCCAUCCUAGAAGCCCUAUUUUACAAACCUUAACCCUAGCCCAUUGUUUAAUCUGAUUUGUUAGGGUUUCUAAGUGCAUAUAUAUUUAGUUUCUACACCUAGCCGCACCAGCUCCCAUUCUACAAAUCAGAAAUCGUCUAAACCCUAUUCCCACACCUUGCCGCAGCCACCUUCAUCCAUUCCAGCCACUUCCCAUCCUUGCCGCAGCCUUCAUCCACCUCCAUACACCAUUCUACACCUCUAGCCACCAUCCUACACCUCCAUACACCAUCCCCACUCCUUGCCGCACCACCAUACCAUCCUAAUUCCCUUCUAAAACCAAAAUCACAUCCAAAAACACCCAAAACCCUCUCUGCCGCAGCAAGGAGAGAGGAGCUUGAAGUCAGAAAUUCAAAGUGGAAUUCUUGGGCGUUUUAGGUGUAAUCUUUCUACGUCUUCGAUGUUUCAAUUCAAUAAACUUAUUGUUGUGAGUAUGAGGAACUAAACCCCCUUAGUUGGGGGGUAAUUCGAAACCAUGUACAUGCUUGCAAUUUGAUUCGAUUUCAUUCAGUUGUUAUUUCAUAAGUUGUGGAUUCAAUUCGUUCAUCUAUUUGAUUGAUAACGUAUUUGUGUAUGUUGAUUGAGAGUGCACGCUUAGUUUUCAUGCAUGAAUAUGAUGCUAGAUUAUGAGGGAGUUUCACCUAAUAGUUACAAUCUUAUAAUCACAAGUAGUGAAGAUCGCUUGAAAACGAUCGCGUUGAAUGAAUUCUUAGUAUAAGUUUCAUGCAAUUCAUAGUAACGAAUGCUUCGUCAAUGCUUAUGUUUUUCAUAGAACGUAAUGAUUCUUGCUUGUUUCUCUAUUAUGCAAUUCAUGUAGGGAACUUGUAGGGAAUGUUUUGGGUUGUCGUAUGCAAUCAUCCAACUUAAUAACUUAUGGAAAAACUGAGGGUUAAUUAGUGCAAUUCACGGUUAAUUUGGGGCGUUGAGUAUUCAUAAUUCAUUGGAAGAACAACUGAAAAUCGUUUUGUUUGCAAGUGUGACAUGUGUGGAGAAGAACCUCCUAACUAGCCUUUUAACCAUCUAUUUCACCAAAAUCGUUUUUGCAAUCUGUGCUAGUUAAAGUUUCUGUUUUUGUGUUAAAUUUUCGUCCAAAACAAACCCCCAUUAUUUUAGAGUCUUAGAUUAGUUAGAAAGUGUUUUGAUUUGUGUUUCUAAGUGUUUUGAUUCAAGUUUUCAUCCAAUUUCGUCCAAAUUAGUGUAGGUGCUCAAAACUGCCCAGAAAGUGGUUUUUAGGCAGUUUUGAGUCUUUUAGUUGCUGUUUUGAGUUCUAGGGUUAUUUAAGUGUUUUAAACUUUAGUUUUGCAUUCUUUGAGUCUAGUUUAGUGUUUUAAACUUUGUUUUUGAGUUUUUAAGUCAGUUUCCAAGUGUUUAGCAAGCCCUCCUAAUCCCCGGUCUAGAACGAUCCCUACUUACAUCUUUACUACAAUUUGACAAAAAGAGGGUUUAAUUUGUGUGCUUAUCUAUUUCGCAUCAUAAACCACAUUCACGAUUCAUGAAAUCAUAACUGGAGGUAAUCAAAUCAUAUAAAACAUAUGAUCAUGGCUUUGAAUUCCCCUCUAACUAUAAAGAAAUUAGUUCCUCAUGUUCGCAAAUAAACAAAGAUAAAUAAAUUUAAACAUUGACAUAAAGAUAGAAAACACCUAGAAUCGCUCCAACAAUCCAAGAUCCUUGAAUGGCAUGCACGGCUCCAGAUUCCUUCCUUCUUCUCCUUGCAAACUCACGGCACAAUGAGGGAUUUAUGGUGAAUAGUGUAGUGAAUUGUGGUAGAGGGUGGUGAGUGAAAGGGUGCGGCAUAGGCUUGUAUUUAUAGGCUGAAAAUCCCAUCUCCUAGGUAGCCAAGGACAAGGUUUUAAAGGCCUAAACUGCAUAGGAUAAUAACAUACAAUCCUACAAGGAAAACAAGUCAAAAACCCAAAAGGAAUGGGAGAUAAUGUGCGGCACAAAGAGUGUGAAAGGAUAAGGCUUCUAGAAACCAAAUCCCAAAGGAAAUGGGUGAAAACUCACGGCAAAAGGAUAGUUUCUAGAAAGAAAUACAAGGCAGAUUUUUAGGCUUCUAGAAAGGCUCCUAGGCGCCAUUUUUGUAGGAUAAGAUUAGGUCUUCUAGAAAUCCCAUUUUAAGCAUCCUAAUCUAGUUAGAAACCCUCCUAAGUGGCUGAGAUGUGGAUAGUUUAGGAUUAGGAUAAGAUAGGAUAGGAUAAGGUUUGUUUGGAUAAGAUAAGCUAAGAUAAGGUUAUGGAUGAGGUUUUGGAUAAGAUCCUUAUCUUGAGCUGAUUCUUUGACUUUAACUCUUCUUCUUCAUGUAGGAAUACUUGCUUGAGUAGGAAACUUCAUUCGUCUAGGAAUCCUUCUUCAUUUAGGAAUCCUUCACUUUAGCCCUUUCCUACUUCAACUAGGAAACUUUGUAUCUUCAAUUCUUCAACUUCAAAACACAUUCCUAGCUUCAUCAAUCCUUCAAAUUCGUCCAUCCUUUGUGUUUCAUGUGCAUGAACUUCAUUCUAGCCCAAUUUUGCUCCUAAUUGCAUCCUUUUGCUCACUUUGUCUCUAAAACCUGAAAACACAUGAAAAUAGCUUAAAAAUACUAACUUAACUAAGAAAACACAACAUAAAUGCAUAAGAACUAACUAACUAAGGCGCAUAAAUAUGCUCCUAUCAUUGCCGUGGGGGUCCUCUUUGGCCAACGCCUUCGUAUUGUUGAGCGUUCAAUGCUCGAUUAGCAAUCAUGAUCUUGGCAGCCAUGGGUGUUUUGUGAUGCGAAAUAUAUAAGCACACAAAUUAAACCCUCUUUUUGUCAAAUUGUAGCAAAGAUGUAAGUAGGGAUCGUUUUAGACCGGGGAUUAGGAGGGAUUUAGGAUGGUAUGGUGGUGCGGCAAGGGGUAUGGAUGGUGUAUGGAGGUGUAGAAUGGUGGCUGGAGGUGUAGACUGGUUGCGGCAAGGAGUGGGGAGUGGCUGGUUUGGAUGGAGGAGUGGCGGCUAGGGGUUCUAAGGAUGAUGGUGGCUGCGGCAAGGUGGGGAAAUAAGGUUGGAAUAAUUUCUGAAUUGUGUGUAGAGAUCAUCUGUGCGGCUAGGUGUAGAAAUAUAUAUAUAGGCACUUAAAAACCCUAACAAAUCAGAUUAGGGUUUCUAGAAACCCAAAUCCACCAGAAAAAUAGGUUAAACAAUCAGAAAUUUGGUGAGAAAAGGGCCUAGGGUGCGGCAAUUAAGUGGGCUAGGGUUAGGGCUUCUAGAAAGCCUUGCAAGGCAAGGAAAUAGGUGUUCUAGAAGGGGAAAGGUGCGGCCCAAACCCUAGGGGAGAUAGAUUAAGGUUUAACUUGGCAGAAAUUAAAUGAUUAGGCCCUAGGGUGCGGCAUAGGCUUAGGAUCCACAAGGAAUUAGGGUUUAGGUCAUCUCAAAGCCCAAAGCCAAGAAUAGAAACUCACGAAAAUGGAAACCUCCAAGAAUAGAAACUUCCAACUUUAGAAACUUUGGUUGCCAAUUCCGACUUCUUUGUUCUUCACUUUUAUUUCUUCAUUUCUUAAGCUCCUUUGACCUUCAAACUCGUCCAUUCCUCGUGCUCCAUUAGCAUACACAACAUUCCGGCUCAAUUUUGCUCCAAAAAGCUCCAAAUUGCAUCAUUUCAUGUAAUAUGUCCUUUAAACCUGAAAACACAUGAAAGUAGCUUAAAAGACUACUUUAACGAAGAGAACAUAACGAAAAUGCAUAAAAACUAGCUAACUAAGGCGCAUAAAUAUGCUCCUAUCAUUUUGUCCACCAAUGCUCCACCCGCCGAGGCAUCGAGCAUUUGACGUUCAAGUGGUAAGAGCCCCUCGUAAAAGUAUUGUAGAAGUAACUCCUCCUUCAUCUGAUGCUGUGGACAAGAAGCAACAAGUGAUUUAAAACGUUCAUAAUAAGUAGGAAAACACUCACCUUCUUCUUGCUGAAUACCACUAAUCUUUUUACGUAGGAGAAUGAUUCGAGAAGUUGGGAAAAACUUCUCCAAAAACGCCCUCUUCAUACUCUCCCAAGAUGUGACAGUUCCGGGAGCUAACUCGUACAACCAAUCUUUGGCUUUAUCCAUUAAAGAGAAUGGAAAAGCCUUCAUCUUCAAAAUACUUCCGUCGACGUUAACCGGAGUCAUGCUUGAACAAACCACUUCAAAUUCUUUUAAAUGCUUGUUCGGAUCCUCCAUGGACAGCCCAUGGUAUUUUGGAAUGUGGUGGAGCAAACUUGACUUUAACUCGAACUCUUCGGUCUUACCUUGUGCAGCCGUGGGAUAUUGGAUACACAAAGGUGUGGCAUUAUCUAAUCCCGAAGCGGCGAGCUCCUUGAGUGUUCGGUUGUCCAUGGCCAUGUCUUGCACUACUUCUCCCACUUAUGCCGUGGGUAUCUCCUCCUCUUCUGGAACUUGUUCUUCAAGGUCAGGUUCCGGGCUAAAUGGGUUGGACUCUUGUUGGUUCCUCCUUCGUCUCAAAGUUCUCUCAAAAUCGUCGUCAAAGUCCAAAAUAUGCUCACGAACAGGGUGGGAACUUCGAGUCAUGCACUAUUACCUUAAAAACAAAGAAACAAAACAAGGUCAGAAACUUCAACAAAAUAAAUGAAUGAAAAGAAACAAUCAAAGGGAUUAGCAAAGUUGCUAAUCCCCGGCAACGGCGCCAAAAAUUUGAUGCGAAAAUAUAAGCACACAAAUUAAACCCUCUUUUUAUCAAAUGUAGUAAAGUAUGUAAGUAGGGAUCGUUCUAGGCUGGGGAUUAGGAGGGAUUGCUAAAUCACUUGGAAACUGACUUGAAAACGUAAAAACAAAGUUUAAAACACUAAACUAGACUCAAAGAAUGCGAAACUAUACUUUAAAAUACUAAGAUAAACAAAAAGAUUCAAAACAGCAACCAAAGACUCAAAACUGCCUUAAAAACACUUUCUGGGCAGUUUUGGGACUCUAACACAAACUUGGACGAAUUUUGGUUUUCUAAUGAACUAAAACACUUAAAAACAUAAUCUAAGACAAGUUCUAAUUAAUAUGACUCAAAGAAAAAAGAUGGGGUUGAUUUUGGACGAAAAUAAUUAAAUUAAGACAAGAACAAAGUAAACAGAUUUUUAGACAAAUUUGGGUGAAUCAAAACACUUAAAAACACAAACUAAAGUGAUUACUAACUAAUCUAACACUUUGAAAUAAAUGGGAGAUUGGUUCUUGACGAAUUUGAAAACAAAACAAACUUUGUAAAACAAAACAGAUUGUAAAUGAAUUUGAAUGAAACUUAUGGAUGCAAGGCUAGCUAGGAGGUUCUUCUCCACACAUGUCACACUUGCAUACAAGCGAUUUCCAGUUGCUUUUCGAUAAACUACGAAUACUCAACGCCCCAAAUUAAUCGUGAAUUGCACUAAUUAACCCUCAGUUUUUCCACAAGUUAUUGGGUUGGAUGAUUGCAUACGACAACCCAAAACAUUCCCUACAAGUUCCCUACAAGUUCCCUACAUGAAUUGCAUAAUAGAGAUACAAGCAAGAAUCAUUAAGUUCUAUGAAAAACAUAAGCAUUGACGAGGCACUCGUUACUAUGAUUUGCAUGAAACUUAUGCCAAGAAUUUACUUAACGUGAUUGUGACUAGCAACCUUCACUACUUGUGAAUAUAAGUUCAUAACGAUUAGGUGAAACUCCCUUAUAUUCUAGCGUCAAAUUCAUGCAUGAAAAUUAAGCGUGCACUCUCAACCAACAUACACAAAUCAGUUUUUAUACGAACGGAUAAGUAAAUUGAAUUCACAACUUAUGAAUCACAACUGGAUGUAAUCAAAUCAUAUUGCAAGCAUGAACAUAGUUUCGAAUUACCCCCUAACUAAGAGGGGUUUAGUUCCUCAUACUCACAAAGCAAAGAUGCAUAAAUUUAGACAUUAAAAAACAAAGAUAGAAAACACCAAGAAACGCUCCAACACUCCCAAGGCUUGGGCUUAGGCACGGCACCAGGUUUUUUCUUCUUUCUCCUUCCUUGCAAGCUGCGGCACUAGAGGUUUUGGACAGGUUUUGGGUGGUUUUUAUGGUGUAGAAUGGAUGGGGAAUGGUAUGGAAAUGUUUAGGGUUGAUGGGUGGUAUAUUGGAAACACCUAGAAACGCUCCAACACUCCCAAUGCUUGGGCUUAGGCACGGCACCAGGUUUCUUCUUCUUUCUCCUUCCUUGCAAGAUGAUGCACUAGAUGUUUUGGACAGGUUUUGGGUGGUUUUUAUGGUGUAGAAUGAAUGGGGAAUGGUAUGGAAAUGUUUAGGGUUGAUGGGUGGUGUGGCUAGGGGUGAUUUUUGGCUGAAUUUGGAGAGAAUGGUGGUGGAAAACUCACGGCAAGGAGCAAGGAUAAAAUCUGUUAUGGUUGAUGAAUAUGGGAGGUGGUAUUUAUAGGCUUGAGAGAGGACCACUCCAUUUCCUUUGCAUGUGCAGCUUGUGUGGAUGUGAGUUGUCAUGUUUCCCCUUUACAUUUACACACACAUGCUUCAUCAUUUCAAUCACAAACACACCAUAAUUUCUGCCCAUGCCGUGUGCUCCAUGUGCUUGCUGCUGCCAUGUUCUUUUCUUUGCCAUGUGUUUGCUGCCAUGUUCUUUGCUUUACCAUUACACUUGCACACACACAUGUUCUUUGCAUCAUUUCAACCACAAAACACAAACAUUUUCUGCCAUGUUUCUCCUUUACAUUUACACACACAUGCUUCAUCAUUUCAACCACAAAACACACCAUAAUUUCUGCCAUGCCGUGUGCUCCCAUGUGUGUGCUGCAACAUUCUUUUCUUUGCCAUGUGUUUGCUGCAACAAGGGGUUUAUUUAAAGGGAUAAAGGAAAUAAAACCCUAGGUUAACUAGGUAAACAGAAAUUAAGUCUAAAGCUUCUACAAUUUAGGGAAACAAAUCAGAAAUUUAAAGGAAAUAAGCUAAAAGGUGUGGCAAGGCUUUAAAGUAGAUUAGGAAAGUGUUUAAAUGCAAGAUUUAGGAAAGAAUGACUCUUCCUUGCACGACAAGGAAGAGUAAUGGCAAGGGUGGAGCACACGGCUGGUUGCUUAUUUUUGAACACUUCGUUCUUUAUUUGUCUUGAAUCCAAUUCUUCACAUCAUCAUUCAAUCCUAAGCUCAUUUGAUCUUCAAUUUCGUCCAUCUUCUUACCUCCAAGCAUAUGCAAUCCAUUUGAUGCACAAAAACUGCUCCAAACGACUCCAAAAUGCACAUGUAUGCAUACUUUGUCCUUAAAACCUGAAAACACAUAAAAGUGACUUUAAACACUAAAAUAACUAAAGAAACACAACGUAAAUGUACGAGAACAACCUAAUUAAGUCGCAUAAAAAUGCUCCUAUCAGCCGCACAAAAGCAUCCUUUUUUUCCUAUUUUCUGAUCUUAAAACCACAUUCCCUUUUAUUCAAGCAACCAGCUGCACAUUUCCCCUCUUUCUUACCUAUUUUCUGACCCAAAAUUACAUUCCCCUUUGUUCUAAAGCCUUGCCAUACAAGGGGAUAGGAUUCUUACCUAUUUUGUGUCUCAAAACACAUUCCUAAAUCUGUCCUACAAUUUCUGCCGAAUUUCCCCUUCCUUUUCUCUUUAAUUCUUGCACCUUACUAAGGAAAACAACAUAAAUGCACAAGAACAAGCUAACUAAGUUGCAUAAAUAUACUCCUAUCACAUACAAGGGGAUAGGAUUCUUACAUAUUUUGUGCCUCAAAACACAUUCCUAAAUCUGCCCUACAAUCUUUGCCGAAUUUCCCUUUCCUUUUCUCUUUAAUUCUUGCACCUUACUUGCCUAUUUUCCAUUGAUUUCUGACUUUUAAUUAUAGGACAAAAUAGCUAAGUUAUUUCUUUCCCUAAAACUCAUAAAAACCGUGCCCUAGCCCUAUAUAAAAACCCCUUUGCCGCAAACUCUGGGGGGGCUCUUCUAAUCAGCCAUUCCACACUCCAUCCUUCACCAUAACCUACCUACAUCCAUCCACCACCACAAUUCACCACAAAUCAUCACCAAACACCCUUGUGUCGCAGCAAAGAAGAAAGAAGGAGACCCUUGGACGUGCUUGCCAUUCAAGACGUUGGAUUGUUGGAGCGUUUCUAGGUGUUUUCAUUCUUUGUUUUCAAUGUCUAAAUUUAUGUAUCUUUGUUUUGCGUUUAUGAGGAACUAAGCCCUUCUUGGCUAGGGGGCUAUUCAAUACCAUGAUUAUACUUGCAUUAUGAAUUGAUUACCUUCAGUUGUUAUUUCAUAAGUUGUGAAUUCAAUUUGCUUAACCGUUUGAUCGAUAACUUAUUCUUGUAUGUUUAUUAAGAGUGCACACUUAGUUUUCAUGCAAGGAUUUGAAGCUAAAAUAUAAGGGAGUUUCACCUAAUAGUUACAAGCUUAUAUUUGCAAGUAGUGGAGGUCGCUUAUAAACGAUCGUGUUAAGUGAAUUCUUGGCAAAAGUUUCAUGCUUUUCAUAGUUACAAUUGCUUUGUCAAUGCUUAUAGUUUUCAUGAAACUUAAUGAUCUUUGAUUGUACCUUUAUUGUGCUUUUCACGUAGGGGACUUUUAGAGAAUGCUUUGAAUUGUUGUAUGUGCUUUCCCAUCCAAUUCAUUAACUUAAGGAGAACUUGAAGGUUAAAAAAGUGCUGUCACAGUUAACCUGGAGUAUUGAGUUUCAUGACUUAUUGAGAGAAGCAAUUGGAAAUCAAUUUGAAUGCAAGUGUGUCAUGUGUGGAGAAGAACUCUCUAGCUAGCCCAUCAUCCAUAGUUUGAUCCAAAUUCGUCUAGAAUCUGUUUUCAAUUUACAAUCUGUUUUGCAAGUUUAAUUUCGUCCAAAAUCAAAACCCCCUUGACUUUAUUGAGUCAUAUUAGUUAGAAAGUACUUUAGUUUGUGUUUUUAAGUGUUUUGGUUCAAGUUAUAACUCAAUUUCGUCCAAAUUAGUGUUAGAGUUCAAAACUGCCCAGAAAGUGUUUUAAAGCAGUUUUGAGUGUUUUUGUGCUGUUUUGAGUCUUUUGGUUUGUUUUAGUGUUUUAAAAUUUAGUUUUGCAUUCUUUGAGUCUUGUUAAGUGUUUGUAACUUGUUUUUAGUUAUUUGAGUCAGUUUAGAAGUGUAUUAGCAAUCCCUCCUAAUCCCCGGUUUAAGAACGAUCCCUACUUAUCCAUACUACAAUUGUCAACAAGAGGGUUUAAUUUGUGUGUUUAGUUAUUUUACCAUCAACAUGGCUUGCCAUAGACUAGCCGAAAUGGAGACAUCCCUAGGGGUGUUUUGUAGGCAGUUCGGUACGCCCAUAAUGCAUCGUCUAAACACAUGCUCCAAUCCUUUUGGUUUGGCCCCACAGUCUUUUCCAAGAUUUUCUUGAUUUCGCGAUUUGAAACUUCGGCUUGGCCACUUGUUUGAUGGUGAUAAGGUGUUGAAACCCUAUGCUUGACAUUGUACUUCUUAAAGAGUGCCUCAAUGGUCCGAUUGCAGAAAUGUGAGCCUCCAUCACUUAUGAACACCCGCGGCAUCCCAAAUCUAGAGAAAAUGUUAGUCUUGAUGAAAUCUGAAACCACUCUAGAAUCGUUAGUACGGGUAGCUUUUGCUUCUACCCAUUUGGAAACAUAAUCAACCGCAAGCAAAAUAUAAGUGAAACCAAAUGAAGAAGGAAAGGGACCCAUGAAAUCAAUACCCCAAACAUCAAAAAUUUCAACAUUAAAGAUAGGGGUUUGCGGCAUUUGGUCCUUAGCACCAAUGGUACCUGUCCUUUGACAUCUAUCACAUGUUAAGCAAAACAUUCUAGCAUCUUUAAACAAUGUAGGCCAAUAAAAACCACAUUCUAACACCUUGAGGGAUGUUCUUUGAUUGCCAAAAUGACCCCCACAUGCAUAAGAAUGACAAAAGGCUAGAAUGGAGUUAAAUUCAGAAUUUGGCACACAUCAUCUAACAAUCUGAUCUGGGCAGUACUUCCACACAUAUGGGUCAUCCCAAACAUAAAAACGUGCAUGAUGUUUAAGUUUAUCACGUUGGGACUUGUUUAAGGUGUGAGGAACUUGCUUAGACACCAAAUAAUUGACCAAAUCGGCAUACCAAGGGGUACUUACCUCAAUGGACAGAAGUUGCUCAUCCGGAAACAUUUCUGAAUGGGAAUGGGCUCUUCCUCACGCACCAACCUGCUUAGGUGGUCGGCAACCACAUUGUCACUUCCCUUUUUGUCCUUAAUUUCGAUAUCAAACUCUUGAAGUAGGAGCAUCCAACGAAUGAGUCGAGGUUUAGCUUCUUUCUUUGUGAACAAGUACUUCAAGGCUGCAUGGUUGGUGCGUAAAUAUAUAAGCACACAAAUUAAACCCUCUUGUUGACAAUUGUAGUAUGAAUAAGUAGGGAUCGUUCUAGACCGGGGAUUAGGAGGGAUUGCUAAACACUUGAAAACUGACUUAGAAACGUAAAAACAAAGUUUAAAACACUAGAUUAGACUCAAAGAAUGCAAAACUAAAGUUUAAAACACUAAAACAAACCAAAAACUCAAAACAGCUACCAAAAGACUCAAAACUGCCUUAAAAACACUUUCUGGGCAGUUUUGAGCACAAAGCACCAAAUUGGACGAAUUUGGGUUUUAACUUGUAACAAAACACUUAAAAACAUAAACCAAAACACUUUCUAACUAAUCUAGGACUUCAAAAUAAAUGGGGAUUUGAUUUGGACGAAAAUAAACUAACAAACAAAACAGAUUGCAAAGUAAAAACAGAUUUGAAAACGAUUUUGGGGUUUUAAAUGGAUGAUGGAUUAGUUAGAGGCUCCUUCUCCACACAUGACAAGUAUGCAAACGACUCGAUUUCCAGUUAUUCCUUCAUUGAAUUAUGAAUGACAAUGCCCCAAAUUAACCGUGACAUCACUAGUUAAUUCUCAAGUUUUCCUUGUGUUAUUGGAUUGGAUGACAUCAUUCGACAACCCAAAGCAUUCCUCAAAAAUUCCCUACAUGACAUCAUAAUAAAGAUACAAUCAAAGAUCAUUACGUUCAAUGAAAACUAUAAGCAUUGACAAAGCACUUGCAACUAUGACAUCAUGUCACUCGUGCUAGGAAUUGGAGUUAACGCGAUCGUGACUAGCGACCUUUACUACAUAUGAAUAUAAGUGUGUGACGAUUAUGUGAAACAACCUUAUAUUCUAGCAUCAUAUUCACGCAAGCCAAUUAAGUGUCGACCCCUAAUUAACAAACACAAAUAAGUUAUUACUCGCACAGUUAAGCCAAUUGCAUUCACGAUUCAAGAACUCAUAACUGGAAUUUAUCAAAUCAAAUUGCACACAUAGUCAUGGUUUCGAAAUCACCUCUAACCAAAUAGGGUUUAGUUCCUCAUAAUCGCAACAUAAAGAUUAUUAAACUUAAACAUUGAAAACAAAAGAUAGAUUACACCUAGAAAUGCUCCAACAAUCCAACGUCUUGAAUGGCAAGCACGUCCAAGGGUGUUUGGUGAUGAUUUGUGGUGAAUUAUGGUGGUGGAUGGAUGUAGGUAGGUUAUGGUGAAGGGUGGAGUGCUUAGAAUGGUCAGCAAGGACCUUUAUUUAUAGGGGAAGGAAGGGCUACGAAUUUGAAGUGGUUUUAGGGAAGGAUUUAUGUAGGAAAAGGAAUGUGAUUUUUGGUCAAAAAAUAGGCAAGAAAGGUGCAGGAAUUAAAGAGAAAAGGAAGGGAAAUUCGGCAGAAAUUGUAGGGCAGAUUUAGGAAUGUGUUUUGGGUCAGAAAAUAGGUAAGAAAGAGGGGAAAGGUGCGGCAAUGCCUAGAACUAAAGGGGAAUGUGAAUUAAAAUCAGAAAAUAGGAAAGGAGAGGAUCCCUUGUGCGGCAAGGACUUUAGGGAAGGUUUAGGGCUUCUAGAACAACCAAUUAAGUGCCCUAACAUGUUUUGGAAUCCCUUUGUGGCUGGAACAUAGAUGAGGAAAGAUUAGGAAACUUCCAAGCCAAGAAUAGAAACUUCCAACUUUAGAAACUUUGGCUUCCAAUUUUGAACUCUUCAUUCUUUAUUUGUCUUGAAUCCAAUUCUUCACAUCUUCAUUCAAUCCUACGCUCAUUUGAUCUUCAAUUUCUUCCAUUUUCUUAGCUCCACGCAUGUGCAAUCCAUUUGAUGUCCAAAACUGCUCCAAAAAGCUCCAAAAUGCAUCUUUUUGCAUACUUUGUCCUUAAAACCUGAAAUUGCACGAAAAUGACUUUAAACGCUAAAAUAACUAAGGAAAACAACAUAAAUGCACAAGAACAAGCUAACUAAGUUGCAUAAAUAUGCUCCUAUCAAUGGUCAGUGAAAACAAUGACUUUAGUGCCAAUUAAAUACGAUAUAAACUUAUCUAAUGCAAAGACAACAGCCAAGAGCUCUUUCUCUGUUGUGGAAUAAUUUAAUUGUGUAUCAUUUAAGGUACGAGAAGCAUAAUAAAUAACAUGUGGCAGCUUGUUUUUCCUUUGACCCAAAACAGCCCCAAUUGCAUAAUCCGAUGCAUCACACAUGAUCUCAAAGGGAAUGCUCCAAUGUGGUGGAGUGAUGAUUGGUGCCGAAGUGAGUAGGUCCUUGAGAUGGUUGAAUGCUUGCUCACACGCCUCGUUGAACUCAAACGACACUUCCUUUUGUAGGAGACGGCAUAGAGGUUGUGCAAUCUUGGAAAAGUCCUUGAUAAAUCGUCGAUAGAAUCCUGCAUGACCAAGAAAAGAACGAACCUCUCUCACCGAAGUAGGAGAGGGUAAGUAGCGUACAAGAUCUAUUUUAGACAUAUCAACUUCAAUUCCUUUUUCAGAGAUUAUAUGACCCAAAACAAUACCUUGUUUUCAUGAAUGGUCAUCCAAGUAGAAUAGGCAAGGAGGAAGAAUAAGCCGAAUCUUCCAUCUCAAGCACAUAGAAAUCAACCAAAAAGAUCAAGUGAUUAACCUGCACUAAAACAUCCUCCAAAACUCCUUUUGGAUAGGCAUUAGAUCUAUCGGCUAAUUGAAUAAUUACCCCAUCAUUUUUCAGCUCACCUAAGUUCAUAGAUGUAUAAAUUGAAUAGGGCAUGACGUUAAUAGAUGCACCUAAGUCUGACAUGGCAUGUUCAAAGCGAGUAUUGCCUAUUGAUAGGAGCAUAUUUAUGCGCCUUAGUUAGCUAGUUCUUAUGCAUUUUUGUUAUGUUUUCUUUCUUAAAGUAGUCUUUUAAGCUACUUUCUUGUGUUUUCAGGUUUAGCGGACGUAUUACAUGAAAUGAUACAAUUUGGAGCUUUUGGAGCAAAAAGUGAGCUUGAAUUGAAAAGGACAUGCUUGGAACGCAAGGUUGGGAUGGAAUUGAAGAGUUGAAGAUUUGAGGUUUCCUACUUGAAGUAGGAAAGCUAAGCCUAAAAGUUUCCAUUUUGGGUCGAUCUUUCCUAAAUCGGAAUUGGCAACCAAAGUUUCUAAAAGUUGGAAGUUUCUAUUCUUGGCGUUGGGCUUUUAGAUGACCUAAACCCAAAUUUCCUUGUGGACCUUCAACCCAUGCCGAACCCUAGGGCCUAAUCAUCUAAAAUCUGCCAUGUUAAACCCUAGUCCAUUUCUCCUAAACCCAAGCCGCACAUUUCCACCUAGAAGCCCUAUUUUACAAACCCUAAACCCUAGUCCACUUAAGUGCCGCACCUAACCCUAGCCCAUUGUUAAAAAUCUGAUUUCAUUAGGGUUUCUAAGUGCCUAUAUAUACCACCCUUACACCCUAGCCGCAUACAUCUUCCCCUCUCCAAAAAAUCAGAAAACCAUCUCUCCUUUUCCCCACCUUUUGCCGCAGCCACCAUCACCCAAAAUCCAUCCAUUCCAGCCGCCACUCAUCCAUUCCAGCAACCUACCCCACUUUGCUGCACCACCAUACACCUCCCUUACCCUUUGCCGAACCACCAUAUCAUCCCAAAUCCAUCCCUAAACCGAAAUCACAUCCAAACAGCCCCUAAACCCUCACUGCCGCAGCAAGGAGAAGAAGAAAGAGGAGCUUUCUGUGCAGAUUUCAAAGUGGACUUCUUUGGCAUUUUAGGUGUAAUCUUUCUUAUGUCUUUGAUGUUUCAAUUCAAUAAACUUUGUGUUGUGAGUAUGAGGAACUAAACCCCCUUAGUUGGGGGGUAAUUCGAAACCAUGUACAUGCUUGCAAGAUGAUUUGAUUAUAUUCAGUUGUUAUUUCAUAAGUUGUGAAUUCAAUUCGUUCAUCUAUUUGAUUGAUAACUUAUUUGUGUAUGUUGAUUGAGAGUGCACGCUUAGUUUUCAUGCAUGAAUAUGAUGCUAGAUUAUGAGGGAGUUUCACCUAAUAGUUACAAUCUUAUAAUCACAAGUAGUGAAGAUCGCUUGAAAACGAUCGCGUUGAAUGAAUUCUUAGCAUAAGUUUCAUGCAAUUCAUAGUAACGAAUGCUUCGUCAAUGCUUAUGUUUUUCAUAAAACUUAAUGAUUCGUGCUUGUAUCUCUAUUAUGCAAUUCAUGUAGGGAACUUGUAGGGAAUGUUUUGGGUUGUCGUAUGCAAUCAUCCAACUUGAUAAAUUCUGGAAAAACUGAGGGUUAAUUAGUGCAAUUCACGGUUAAUUCGGGGCAUUGAGUCUUUAUAAUUUAUUGGAGAACAACUGAAAAUCGUUUUGUUUGCAAGUGUGACAUGUGUGGAGAAGAACCUCCUAACUAGCCUUUUAUCCAUCUAUUUCACCAAAAUCGUUUUUACAAUCUGUGCUAGUUAAAGUUUCUGUUUUAUUUUAAUUUUCGUCAAAACAAAAUCCCCCUUUAUUUUAGAGUCCUAGAUUAGUUAGAAAGUGUUUUGAUUUGUGUUUCUAAGUGUUUUGAUUCAAGUUUUCAUCCAAUUUCGUCCAAAUUAGUGUAGGUGCUCAAAACUGCCCAGAAAGUGGUUUUUAGGCAGUUUUGAGCCUUCUAGUUGCUGUUUUGAGUUCUAGGGUUGUUUAAGUGUUUUAAACUUUAGUUUUGCAUUCUUUGAGUCUAGUUUAGUGUUUUAACUUUGUUUUUGAGUUUUUAAGUUUGUUUCCAAGUGUUUAGCAAUCCCUCCUAAUCCCCGGUCUAGAACGAUCCCUACUUACAUCUUUGCUACAAUUUGACAAAAAGAGGGUUUAAUUUGUGUGUCAAGUUAAUUUUCACAUCACCUAUAACACAAGGAAUUGUAAAACUACCCGGAUCUUUACAUUUGGGGGCACUUUACGUUUGAUGCGAAAAUUAACUUAACACACAAAUUAAAACCUCUUGUUGUCAAAUUGUAGUAUAAAUGCAAGUAGGGAUCGUUCUAAGCCGGGGAUUAGGAGGGAUUGCUAACACACUUGAAACUGACUUAAAUAUGUGAAAACAAACUUAAAAGUAAGAAAACAAAGUCACAAGACUCAAAAUAGAUUAUAGACUCAAAACUGCCUAAAAACAACUCUAAGGCAGUUUCUGCCACUAACACAAAGUUUGGACGAAAAUUGAUUUUAUCUUGACUUAAAACACUUAAAAACACAAUCUAAAACAAGUACUAACUAAUAUGACUUAAUAAAAUAAAGGGGAUUUUGGUUUUGGACGAAAGUAAGGAAAACAAAGCAAGAACAAUUUAAACAGAUUCUUAGACAAAUUUAGGUGAAUUGAUGGGUGAUGGGUUAAACUAUGGAUGAUGGGCUAGCUAGAGGGUUCUUCUCCACACAUGACAUACUUACACAUAAACCAAUUUUCAGUUGUUCUUUCGAUCAAUCAUGAAACUCAACACCCCAGGUUAAUUAAGUCCGCUUAAAUUAACCUUCAAGUUCUCCUUAAGUUAUUGAAUUGGAUGGGAAAACGCAUACAACAAUUCAAGCAUUCUUCAAAAGUCCUUUACGUGAACAGCACAAUAAAGAUACAAUCAAAGAUCAUUACGCAUCAUGAAAACUAUAAGUAUUGACGAGGCAUUCGUUACUAUGAUGAGCAUGAAACUCCUACCAAGAAUUCAUUUAACGUGAUCGUUUAUAAGCGACCUCCACUACUUGUGAAUAUAAAUUUGUAACUAUUAUGUGAAACUCCUUUAUACUCUAGCAUCAUAUUCAUGCAUGCAAACUAAGUGUGCACUUUUAAUAAACAUACACGAAUAAGUUAUCAAUCAAGCAGUUAAACAAAUUGAAUUCACAACUGAAGGUAAUCAAAUCAUAUUGCAAGUAUGAACACGGUUUCGAAUUCCCCCUAGCUAAGGGGGGUUUAGUUCCUCAUACUUACAAAGCAAAGAUAAACAAAUUUAGACAUUGAAAAAGAAAGAAAACACCUAAAUGAUAGGAGCAUAUUUAUGCGCCUUAGUUAGCUAGUUCUUAUGCAUUUUCGUUAUGUUUUCUUCGUUAAAGUAGUCUUUUAAGCUACUUUCAUGUGUUUUCAGGUUUAAAGGACAUAUUACAUGAAAUGAUGCAAUUUGGAGCUUUUGGAAUGUAGCAGGUGAGCUUGGAUUGAAAAGGACAUGCUUGGAACACAAGGUUGGGAUGAAAUUGAAGAGUUGAAGAUUUGAGGUUUCCUACUUGAAGUAGGAAAGCUAAGCCUAAAAGUUUCCAUUUUGGGUUGAUCUUUCCUAAACCGGAAUGGCCUUACGUUUGAGCAACAUUAAAAGGUUUCGAAGCGUUGGAAGACACAAAGAAAGGUGUUAGAAUAUUUUCUCAUCCUUGCCGUGGGUUAGGGCUUAGUUUCUCUUGGUUUUGGGCUUUUUAGAAGCCCUAUCCACAUUCCCACUAUCCAGCCGCACCUUUCCCCUUCUACAACACCUAUUUCCUUGCCUUGCAAGGCUUUCUAGAAGCCCUAACCCUAGCCCACUUAAUUGCCGCACCCUAGGCCCUUUUCUCACUAAAAUUCUGAUUGUUUAACCUAUUUUUCUGGUGGAUUUGGGUUUCUAAAAACCCUAAUCUGAUUUGCUAGGGUUUUUAAGUGCCUAUAUAUAUAUUUCCACACACUUUGCCGAGGGGAUCAUUCCUACACAAUUCAGAAAUUCAUCCAACCCUAUUUCCCCACCUUGCCGCAGCCACCAUCACCCUAAUACCUCUUAGCCGCCACUUCUCCAUCAAACCAGCCACUCCCCACUCCUUGCCGCAACCAUUCUACACUUCCAGCCACCAUUCUACACCUCCAUACACCAUUCUACACCUCCAUACACCAUCUAACUCCCUUCUAAAACCAAAAUCACAUCCAAAAAUCCCCUAAACCCUCUCUGCCGCAGCAAGGAGAAGAAGAAAGAGGAGCUUGACGUGCAGAAAUUCAAAGUGGAAGUGUUGGGCGUUUUAGGUGUAAUCUUUCUUAUGUCUUCGAUGUUUAAAUUCAAUAAACUUUGUGUUGUGAGUAUGAGAAACUAAACCCCCUUAGUUGGGGGGUAAUUCGAAACCAUGUACAUGCUUGCAAUAUGAUUUGAUUACAUUCAGUUGUUAUUUCAUAAGUUGUGGAUUCAAUUCGUUCAUCUAUUUGAUUGAUAACUUAUUUGUGUAUGUUGAUUGAGAGUGCACGCUUAGUUUUCAUGCAUGAAUAUGAUGCUAGAUUAUGAGGGAGUUUCACCUAAUAGUUACAAUCUUAUAAUCGCAAGUAGUGAAGGUCGCUUGAAAACGAUCGCGUUGAAUGAAUUCUUAGCAUAAGUUUCAUGCAAUUCAUAGUAACAAAUGCUUCGUCAAUGCUUAUGUUUUUCAUAGAACGUAAUGAUUCUUGCUUGUAUCUCUAUUAUGCAAUUCAUGUAGGGAACGUGUAGGGAAUGUUUUGGGUUGUCGUAUGCAAUCAUCCAACUUAAUAACUUGUGGAAAAACUGAGGGUUAAUUAGUGCAAUUCACGGUUAAUAUGGGGCGUUGAGUAUUUAUAAUUUAUUGGAAGAACAACUGAAAAUCGUUUCGUUUGCAAGUGUGACAUGUGUGGAGAAGAACCUCCUAACUAGCCUUUUAUCCAUCCUUUUCAUCCAAAAACGUUUUUACAAUCUGUUUGUUUUAAAGUUUCUGUUUUGUUUUCAAUUUUCGUCCAAAACAAAUCCCCCUUUAUUUUGAAGUCUUAGAUUAGUUAGUAGGUGUUUGAUUUGUGUUUCUAAGUGUUUUGAUUCAAGUUUUCACCCAAAUUCGUCCAAGUUCGUGUUAGGUUCUCAAAACUGCCCAGAAAGUGGUUUUUAGGCAGUUUUGAGUCAUUAGGUUGCUGUUUUGAGU
rnacentral:lncRNA from 1 species